rnacentral:rRNA from 1 species
UACGUAGGGGGCGAGCGUUGUCCGGAAUUAUUGGGCGUAAAGGGUUCGCAGGCGGUUUUUUAAGUCAGAUGUGAAAGGCUACGGCUCAACCGUGGUAAGCAUUUGAAACUGAAAAACUUGAGUUAAGGAGAGGAAAGUGGGAUUCCUAGUGUAGCGGUGAAAUGCGUAGAUAUUAGGAGGAAUACCAGUGGCGAAGGCGGCUUUCUGGACUUAUACUGACGCUGAGGAACGAAAGCGUGGGGAGCAAACAGG